GUCGAGCGAGCAAUCUUGCGGAAGCCUUCGGGUGGAAGCAAGAUUGACUGAGCGGCGGACGGGUGAGUAACGCGUGGGUGACCUGCCUCAUACAGGGGGAUAACAGUUAGAAAUGACUACUAAUACCGCAUAAGCGCACAGUGCUGCAUGGCACAGUGUGAAAAACCCCGGUGGUAUGAGAUGGACCCGCGUCUGAUUAGGUAGUUGGUGGGGUAACGGCCCACCAAGCCGACGAUCAGUAGCCGACCUGAGAGGGUGACCGGCCACAUUGGGACUGAGACACGGCCCAAACUCCUACGGGAGGCAGCAGUGGGGAAUAUUGGACAAUGGGGGAAACCCUGAUCCAGCGACGCCGCGUGACUGAAGAAGUAUUUCGGUAUGUAAAGGUCUAUCAGCAGGGAAGAAAAUGACGGUACCUGACUAAGAAGCCCCGGCUAACUACGUGCCAGCAGCCGCGGUAAUACGUAGGGGGCAAGCGUUAUCCGGAUUUACUGGGUGUAAAGGGAGCGUAGACGGCGAUGCAAGUCUGGAGUGAAAGCCCGGGGCUCAACCCCGGGACUGCUUUGGAAACUGUGUUGCUAGAGUGCAGGAGAGGUAAGUGGAAUUCCUAGUGUAGCGGUGAAAUGCGUAGAUAUUAGGAGGAACACCAGUGGCGAAGGCGGCUUACUGGACUGUAACUGACGUUGAGGCUCGAAAGCGUGGGGAGCAAACAGGAUUAGAUACCCUGGUAGUCCGCGCCGUAAACGAUGAAUACUAGGUGUUGGGGAGCAAAGCUCUUCGGUGCCGUCGCAAACGCAGUAAGUAUUCCACCUGGGGAGUACGUUCGCAAGAAUGAAACUCAAAGGAAUUGACGGGGACCCGCACAAGCGGUGGAGCAUGUGGUUUAAUUCGAAGCAACGCGAAGAACCUUACCAAGUCUUGACAUCGGAAUGACCGGUCCGUAACGGGGCCUUCCCUUCGGGGCAUUCCAGACAGGUGGUGCAUGGUUGUCGUCAGCUCGUGUCGUGAGAUGUUGGGUUAAGUCCCGCAACGAGCGCAACCCUUAUCCUUAGUAGCCAGCAGGUAGAGCUGGGCACUCUGGGGAGACUGCCAGGGAUAACCUGGAGGAAGGUGGGGAUGACGUCAAAUCAUCAUGCCCCUUAUGAUUUGGGCUACACACGUGCUACAAUGGCGUAAACAAAGGGAAGCGAAGCCGUGAGGUGAAGCAAAUCCCAAAAAUAACGUCUCAGUUCGGAUUGUGGUCUGCAACUCGACUACAUGAAGCUGAAUCGCUAGUAAUCGC
rnacentral:rRNA from 1 species